UUUUCGCCUGAAUGAAAGAGGAUGAGAACCUCCGAAGGAGGGUUGCGCCGAGCGCAGCGAGACAACGUUGCGAACGCAACGGCCCGAAGGGGGCUUACGCAGUAAGCCUAAUCCUCUCUCGCCGACCA
rnacentral:sRNA from 1 species